rnacentral:rRNA from 1 species
GACGAACGCUGGCGGCGUGCUUAACACAUGCAAGUCGAGCGGAAAGGCCCUUUCGGGGGUACUCGAGCGGCGAACGGGUGAGUAACACGUGAGUAACCUGCCCUUGAUUUUGGGAUAACCCUCGGAAACGGGGGCUAAUACCGGAUAGGACCUGCGGCCGCAUGGUUGUGGGUGGAAAGCUUUUGUGAUCAGGGAUGGACUCGCGGCCUAUCAGCUUGUUGGUGGGGUAAUGGCCUACCAAGGCGACGACGGGUAGCCGGCCUGAGAGGGCGACCGGCCACACUGGGACUGAGACACGGCCCAGACUCCUACGGGAGGCAGCAGUGGGGAAUAUUGCACAAUGGGCGGAAGCCUGAUGCAGCGACGCCGCGUGAGGGAUGACGGCCUUCGGGUUGUAAACCUCUUUCAGCAGGGACGAAGCGCAAGUGACGGUACCUGCAGAAGAAGCGCCGGCCAACUACGUGCCAGCAGCCGCCGUAAAAC